UACGGAGGGUGCAAGCGUUAUCCGGAUUCACUGGGUUUAAAGGGUGCGUAGGUGGCUUUGUAAGUCAGUGGUGAAAUAUUACGGCUCAACCGUAAAACUGCCAUUGAUACUGCUUAGCUUGAAUCAGGUCGAGGUGGAUGGAAUAUUACAUGUAGCGGUGAAAUGCUUAGAUAUGUAAUAGAACACCGAUUGCGAAGGCAGUUCACUAGGCCUGAAUUGACACUGAGGCACGAAAGCGUGGGGAUCAAACAGG
rnacentral:rRNA from 1 species